UGGGGAAUAUUGGACAAUGGGCGCAAGCCUGAUCCAGCCAUGCCGCGUGAGUGAUGAAGGCCCUCGGGUUGUAAAGCUCUUUCACCGGUGAAGAUAAUGACGGUAACCGGAGAAGAAGCCCCGGCUAACUCCGUGGCAGCAGCCGCGGUAAUACGAAGGGGGCUAGCGUUGUUCGGAUUUACUGGGCGUAAAGCGCACGUAGGCGGACUUGUAAGUCAGGGGUGAAAUCCCGGGGCUCAACCCGGGAACUGCCUUUGAUACUGGAAGUCUUGAGGAUGGUAGAGGUGAGUGGAAUUCCGGGUGUAGAGGUGAAAUUCGUAGAUAUUCGGAGGAACACCAGUGGCGAAGGCGACUGACUGGACCAUUACUGACACUGAGGUGCGAAAGAAUGGGGAGCAAGCAGG
rnacentral:rRNA from 1 species